rnacentral:rRNA from 1 species
GAUGAACGCUGGCGGCGUGCUUAACACAUGCAAGUCGAACGGGAUCCCAGGGGUGCUUGCACUUUUUGGUGAGAGUGGCGCACGGGUGAGUAACACGUGAGUAACCUGUCCUUUUCUUUGGGAUAAGCAUUCGAAAGGGUGUUUAAUACCUUAUGUUCUGUCUGCCUCGCAUGGGGUGGGUGGGAAAGGCUUUGGCCGGAUUUGGGUGGGCUCGCGGUCUAUCAGCUUGUUGGUGGGGUGAUGGCUUACCAAGGCUUUGACGGGUAGCCGGCCUGAGAGGGUGGUCGGUCACAUUGGGACUGAGAUACGGCCCAGACUCCUGCGGGAGGCAGCAGUGGGGGAUAUUGCACAAUGGGCGAAAGCCUGAUGCAGCGACGCCGCGUGGGGGAUGAAGGCCUUCGGGUUGUAAACUUCUUUUGCUCUGAACAAGGCAUGCCAGUGGGUGUGUUGAGUGUAGGGGUUGAUUAGCGCCGGCUAACUACGUG